ensembl:lncRNA
UUUUUUUUUUUUUGAGACAGUCUCACUCUGUUGCCCAGGUUGGAGUGCAGUGGCAUGAUCUCGGCCUCUGUCCUCAGGGUUCAAGUGAUUCUCCUGCCUCAGCCUUCCCAGUAGUUGGGAAUACAGGUGCCUGCCACUACACCUGGCUAAUUGUUGUACUUUUUUUUUGUUUUAAGUAGAGAUGGGAUUUCACUAUAUUGGGCCAGGCUGGUCUUAGAACUCCUGACCUCAGGUGAUCCACCUGCCUCAGCCUCCCAAGUGUUGGGAUUACAGGCCUGAGCCACCACACCUAGCCUGAUUUUGUACUUUUUAAAUAAAAUGUUUUCUUCUGGUUCUGGGUAAGAUGGAAUGAGCAUACUCUGUCCUGUGUCUUCACUAAAUGCAGCUGUAAAACCUAGACAGAAUGCAUGAUGUAGGUAUGUGAUAACUGAAAAGUAAACACUGGCAGGAGGAUCUGAAAAGACAAGAAUUCAAAGAGCCACUAAAUAAGCAAUAAGAUUCCCAUUUAACCCUGAUAUCUCUUGAACUCAAAUAAGCCUGGAAGGGCAUAAACAGAAAGAGUGCUAGAAGACUUCUAGCUCUGCUUGAAGAGCAAGAAUAAGAAUUUCUAAUGCUCAGAGAGAAGGGGAAAUCUCUGUGUUUUGUGUUUCUUUCCUCUUCCUUUUUCCUCUCUCCUCUUCCUCCUUCUUUCUUCCUUCCACCUCUUCAUCUUCUUCCUCCUCCUCUUCCUCUUCUUCUUCUCUCUCUUUUUGUUUUUCUUCCCAGACCCCCAGCAUUGCUGCAGCAGUGAUGGGGAGAGGGGCCUAAAACUCUGAAGAAGGGGAAACUUUUCCUCCAAUUGAAAGAGCUAAGAUCUCAAGAGAAGGAGACAAACCCCUGUUGUUUUUCCCUUUUUCUCCCUUACCACUACCCUGCCAUCUGCACCAAAUGCAGGUGCAGUUAUGAGAAGUGCACAGAAGACAGGAGUAACUAAAGUUCCAGGUUUCUGACCUAAAGACUGAACGAGUGAAGUCCAGGGAGCUUAAAAGUAACAGACAGAUGACAUAGAGACAGGAGGUUUAGAACAUAACCCCAUAAAAAUUCCUCAUGAAUUCCUAGGUUCACUCCUGAACACGGAUCUGAUUCUAAGCAUUGUAUCGGUCUUUGGGAAUGGAACUAAGUGAGAUACCACUAUCCAGGUCCCAGAGAGGCCACUAGACAGUGCAUACACAGGACAUAUCUGAAUAACACAGCAAAGGGUCUGGAAAGAGAACUGACUCUGAAACUGUAAACAACAAAACUUGCAACCUUAACCCAUUCAAGUCAAUUAUCCAUAAGAUUUUAAAAAGACCCAUAGUCCCAUAGUCAACACUCAAAAUUUCCAGCAUAAAAUCCAAAAUUACUUAGCAUACGAAGAACUAGGAAAAUCUCGACCCACAUGGGAGAAAACAGUCAACAGACAUCAAAGCCAAGAUAACACAGAUGUUGAAAUUUUCUAACAAAAACUUUAAAGCAGAUAUUUUAAAAUAUUCUAAGAAGUAAAGGAAAAUACUCUUGAAAUGAAUGGAACAGUAGAAAAUCUCACCAAAGGAUUAGAAGAUAUUUUAAAAAACCAAAUGGAAAUUAUGAGACUGAAAAAAGACAAUAGCUGGGGAAAAAGUUGCAGUGAAUGGACUUUAACAGAACAGAGAUGAAAGAGGAAAGAGUCAAAUAAACUUGAAAUUGGAUCAAUAGAAAUUAUUCUAUAUGAACAACAGAGAAAAAAGAUGGACGCAAACAAACAAAAGAACAGAGUCUAGGGACUUCUUGUCCUCAGAGCCAAUACUAAAAGGCAUACAUUUAUAUCAUUGGAGUUUCAGAAAAAGAGGAGAAAAAGUAUAGUGCAAAAAAAUUUGAAGAAUUAAUGGCUGAAAACUCCCCAAAUUUGGCAAAAGAUGUAAACCUACAGAUGCAGGAAGCUCAGUGAAUCUGAAACAAGAUAAAUCCAAAGAGAUCUAUGCUCAGACAGAGUAUAUCAAACUGCUAAAAAUUAAAGACAAUGAAAAAAAAGGCUUGAAAGUAGACAUAGAAAAAUGAUACAUGAUUUAUAGAGAAACAAUAAUUUGAAUAACACAUUUUUUAUCUGAAACCAUUGAAGCCAAAAGGAAGUAAUAGAACAUUUUUUAAAUGUUGAAGAAGAAAUAAAGAACCUAGAAUUCUAUAUACAGAGAAAGUAGUCUCUGCAAAUGAAGAUGAAAUACAGACAUUCUCAGAUGAAAGAAAACUAAGAAUUUAUGGCUGGCAGACCUACUCUGAAAUCAGGAAGGAAAUGAUACCUGAAAGAAGUUUAGAUCAUCAGGACUAAAAACAAGAGUAACGUAAAUGGUAAGUAUCUGGGUAAAUAUAAUAGACUUGAGUUCUUUAAAAUAUGUUCGAUAGUUGAAAACAAAGAUUAAAAAAUUAUCUAAUUGGUCUUAAGCAUAUAUGGAUAUAAUUCAUAAAACAGCUGCAACAUGAAGAAGGAACAUAAAAAAAUAAAGUGAUAAAAUUUCUACAUUCUACAUGAAGUGAUAAAAUAUAAUUUUAAAAAGACUGUUGAGGCUGGGUGCAGUGGCUCAUGCCUGUAAUCCCAGCACUUUGGGAGGCCAAGGCAGGUGGAUCACUUGAGGUCAGGAGUUUGAGACCAGCUUGGCCAACAUGGUAAAACCCUGUCUCUACUAAAAAUACAACAAUUAGCUGGGUGUGGUGGUGCUUGCUUGUAAUCUCGGUCACUUGGGAGGCUGAGGCAGGAGAAUUGCUUGAAGCUGAGAGGCAGAGGUUGCAGUGAGCCAAGAUCACACCAGUUGCACUCCAGCCUGGGUGACAAAGUGAGACUCUGUCUCAAAAAUAAAUAAGGUCAGGCAUGAUGGCUCACGCUGUAAUCCCAGCACUU